GAAAUGCGAUAAGUAAUGUGAAUUGCAGAAUUCAGUGAAUCAUCGAAUCUUUGAACGCACAUUGCGCCCGCCAGCACUCUGGCGGGCAUGCCUGUACGAGCGUCAUUUCAACCCUCAGAACCCCUUGCGGGAUCUGGCGUUGGGGAUUGGCAUCCAGCCAGCCCCGAAAUCUAGUGGCGGUCCCUCCGCGACCUCCCCUGUGCAGUAGCGAUACCUCGCAGCGGGACAGCGGUCUGACCACGCCGUAAAACCCCCAACUUCUCAAGGUUGACCUCGAAUCAGGUAGGAAUACCCGCUGAACUUAAGC
rnacentral:misc_RNA from 1 species